rnacentral:rRNA from 1 species
UACGUAGGGGGCUAGCGUUGUCCGGAAUCAUUGGGCGUAAAGAGCGUGUAGGCGGCUCGAUAAGUCUGCUGUGAAAGUCCAGGGCUCAACCCUGGAAGGCCGGUGGAAACUGUCGGGCUAGAGUCCGGAAGAGGCGAGUGGAAUUCCCGGUGUAGCGGUGAAAUGCGCAGAUAUCGGGAGGAAGACCAGUGGCGAAGGCGGGUCUCUGGACAGUUCCUGACGCUGAGGCACGAAGGCCAGGGGAGCAAACGGG